rnacentral:rRNA from 1 species
CGCGAUUCGCCCUUAGAGUUUGAUCCUGGCUCAGGAUGAACGCUAGCGACAGGCUUAACACAUGCAAGUCGAGGGGCAGCAUGAUUUGUAGCAAUACAGAUUGAUGGCGACCGGCGCACGGGUGAGUAACGCGUAUGCAACUUACCUAUCAGAGGGGGAUAGCCCGGCGAAAGUCGGAUUAAUACCCCAUAAAACAGGGGUCCCGCAUGGGAAUAUUUGUUAAAGAUUCAUCGCUGAUAGAUAGGCAUGCGUUCCAUUAGGCAGUUGGCGGGGUAACGGCCCACCAAACCGACGAUGGAUAGGGGUUCUGAGAGGAAGGUCCCCCACAUUGGUACUGAGACACGGACCAAACUCCUACGGGAGGCAGCAGUGAGGAAUAUUGGUCAAUGGCCGAGAGGCUGAACCAGCCAAGUCGCGUGAAGGAAGAAGGAUCUAUGGUUUGUAAACUUCUUUUAUAGGGGAAUAAAGUGGAGGACGUGUCCUUUUUUGUAUGUACCCUAUGAAUAAGCAUCGGCUAACUCCGUGCCAGCAGCCGCGGUAAUACGGAGGAUGCGAGCGUUAUCCGGAUUUAUUGGGUUUAAAGGGUGCGUAGGUGGUGAUUUAAGUCAGCGGUGAAAGUUUGUGGCUCAACCAUAAAAUUGCCGUUGAAACUGGGUUACUUGAGUGUGUUUGAGGUAGGCGGAAUGCGUGGUGUAGCGGUGAAAUGCAUAGAUAUCACGCAGAACUCCGAUUGCGAAGGCAGCUUACUAAACCAUAACUGACACUGAAGCACGAAAGCGUGGGGAUCAAACAGGAUUAGAUACCCUGGUAGUCCACGCAGUAAACGAUGAUUACUAGGAGUUUGCGAUACAAUGUAAGCUCUACAGCGAAAGCGUUAAGUAAUCCACCUGGGGAGUACGCCGGCAACGGUGAAACUCAAAUGAAUUGACGG